rnacentral:lncRNA from 1 species
CUACAAUACUAACCAGUACUUCCUCGUAGGACAGAUCCUCCUAGAGUGAAAGAGGCUCGUGGACUAAGACGUGAAAGGGGUCUAGAUUGUAAUUGUGUAGCAUGGAUACGUGAAAUACAUUAUGGACCUUGAAAAGUUCUAGAGGCAGUGCCAAUUCUGUCUAAUAUUUUAAAUAACCCAAUAAAUCGGAGGUUUAGUUUCCCCCUCUUGCC